AUUCCAGCUCCAAUAGUGUAUAUUAAAGUUGUUGCAGUUAAAAAGCUCGUAGUUGGAUUUCUGGCGGGAGCGAUCGGUCCUUCACUCAGUGUUGGAACCUGAUUGUCUCCUGCCAUCCAUGGAGAAAACUUAUCUGGCAUUAAGUUGUCGGGUAGGCAAUCUCCAUCUUUUACUGUGAAAAAAUUAGAGUGUUCAAAGCAGGCUUAUGCCGUUGAAUAUAUUAGCAUGGAAUAAUAACAUAGGACUUUGGUUCUAUUUUGUUGGUUGGAGGCCAAGGUAAUGAUUAAUAGGGAUAGUUGGGGGUAUUCAUAUUUAAUUGUCAGAGGUGAAAUUCUUGGAUUUAUUGAAGACGAACUACUGCGAAAGCAUUCAUCAAGGAUGUUUUCAUCG
rnacentral:rRNA from 1 species